rnacentral:tRNA from 1 species
GGCGAUAUGGCCAAGCGGUAAGGCAAGGGAUUGCAAAUCCUUUAUCCCCAGUUCGAAUCUGGGUGUCGCCU